GAGGAGGAAGUUCAUUACUUCAGUUGAGUCAGACCAUGCCAAGGUGAAGAGGUGCUCAUCCUUAGGUUGUUCUUGCCCUUGGAAAGGCUUUGCUUUUUUACGAAUCCCAAGGAAGAAUUCUGUGUAUCUGAAGAUUGGAGUAAACUUUCAAAACUCA